UAAUAAUUACCUUAUUAUUAUGUCUUGUAAUAUUAUUUGGUAUUGUCUCAUGUAAAGGUCUAUAGAACCUGAGAUUUAAGCUAAUAUUAAUAUGUAAUCUAAGACAGGUUUAAGUUAGUGUUAUGAUGGAAUGAAUGAAUAUGAUAGUAUCAUGAGCACCACGCACGAGGUAAAGGUAACCCGAAUUUGAGGGCGUCAUAGGGGUGCUUUGGUGUUCUGGGUGUGUAAUUUUGAUCUUGAUAUGGGGGUUUCUUGUGGGAUUCGGUAUUGGUUAAUUUUGGAUCUUGAUCUGUUUUUGUCAAGUCUUGGGUGUGAAUUUUGGUCUCUCUUUUUUAUCUGUUUGAUUUAGUUCUAAUGGAUUUAAUUGUGUUUUUCGCUGGCUUUGUCGGAUGUUUUUCAUCGGAGUUGCUCCAUUGUUGUGGCUGAUGGGCUUCCUUUCAACUGGUUUUUGUCUGUUUUGCCCAACUAUCGUCAUUAACUUCCCUUCUCCACUCACGGUGGGUUCUUUUAUGAUUGUGGGGAGUUAUUGGUUAUUGUUGGGGAUUUCUCCGGCUAUUCCCUACUGAUCUCAUGCGUGUUUUAAUGUUUAUCUUUUCCAUAUCAGUUAUAGGUGUUUUUGUUUGAUCUUGUUCCAUUAGUUUUGAGUUGGCGACUAAUUUGGGUUGCCGAAACUCGUGGAUGGGGCCUGAUUGUUUUCUUAUUCUGAUAAUAUUUCAGAUUAUCUCUUUCAAUCUAAGCCUGCUUGUUCUUCUAAUUUUCUUGCUUGGAUUUGAUUGUGUUGGAGGUUUUGCCGGAGGCUAUCCCAUGUUGCCGGUCGGAAUUUUCUGUUGAUUGCUUUGUGGUAGCCGGUGUGUUUUGCAGUUGUUGCUGCUGAUUAUUGGCUGACAGCUAGUUGUGCGCUUUGUGGUAAAAUUUAAAGUUUAUUAGAAGAUCUUUUAAAGUCAAGUCUCAGUAAACCAUGUUUACUGUAAUAUGUUCAGGUGAGGGUAAUUUUGAAAAACUCAUUUUGUAUUAUUGUGAAAGUUACUCAAUCAUAGUUAAUGUAUGGGCCAUAUGGGCAAAAAUAACAAAAAAGGGGGGUGAAUUUAUCAGUUCUCUAUUUUAAAAGUAUUUGUAAUACAAUGAGUCAACCUUAUAAUCAUAAUCUCAUAAACUAAUGUACAUUGCAAUUAUAAAUGAUUUAAAAUGAGCACGUUUUAC
rnacentral:lncRNA from 1 species